ensembl:snoRNA
CCGGUACGAUGAUGAAACCAUAGUUCAGCAGACUAGCAGUGAUGAGCAAAAUGUCUUUCGCUCCUAUCUGAUGUAUCUG